rnacentral:rRNA from 1 species
CCUACGGGUGGCAGCAGUAGGGAAUAUUGCUCAAUGGGGGAAACCCUGAAGCAGCAACGCCGCGUGGGGGAUGAAGGUUUUCGGAUUGUAAACUCCUUUUGUUAGAGAAGAUAAUGACGGUAUCUAACGAAUAAGCACCGGCUAACUCCGUGCCAGCAGCCGCGGUAAUACGGAGGGUGCAAGCGUUACUCGGAAUCACUGGGCGUAAAGAGCGCGGAGGCGGGAUAGCAAGUCAGAUGUGAAAUCCUAUGGCUUAACCAUAGAACUGCAUUUGAAACUGUUGUUCUAGAGUAUGGGAGAGGUAGGUGGAAUUCUAGGUGUAGGGGUAAAAUGCGUAGAGAUCAAGAGGAAUACUCAUUGCGAAGGCGACCUGCUAGAACAUAACUGACGCUGAUGCGCGAAAGCGUGGGGAGCAAACAGGAUUAGAUACCCGGGUAGUC